rnacentral:rRNA from 2 species
AGGAUGAACGCUGGCGGCGUGCUUAACACAUGCAAGUCGAACGAUGAUCCCAGCUUGCUGGGGGAUUAGUGGCGAACGGGUGAGUAACACGUGAGUAACCUGCCCUUGACUCUGGGAUAAGCCUGGGAAACUGGGUCUAAUACCGGAUACGACCAUUCCACGCAUGUGGUGGUGGUGGAAAGCUUUUGUGGUUUUGGAUGGACUCGCGGCCUAUCAGCUUGUUGGUGGGGUAAUGGCCUACCAAGGCGACGACGGGUAGCCGGCCUGAGAGGGUGACCGGCCACACUGGGACUGAGACACGGCCCAGACUCCUACGGGAGGCAGCAGUGGGGAAUAUUGCACAAUGGGCGCAAGCCUGAUGCAGCGACGCCGCGUGAGGGAUGACGGCCUUCGGGUUGUAAACCUCUUUCAGUAGGGAAGAAGCGAAAGUGACGGUACCCGCAGAAGAAGCGCCGGCUAACUACGUGCCAGCAGCCGCGGUAAUACGUAGGGCGCAAGCGUUAUCCGGAAUUAUUGGGCGUAAAGAGCUCGUAGGCGGUUUGUCGCGUCUGCUGUGAAAGACCGGGGCUCAACUCCGGUUCUGCAGUGGGUACGGGCAGACUAGAGUGCAGUAGGGGAGACUGGAAUUCCUGGUGUAGCGGUGAAAUGCGCAGAUAUCAGGAGGAAC